CCUACGGGGGGCUGCAGUGGGGAAUAUUGGACAAUGGGGGCAACCCUGAUCCAGCCAUGCCGCGUGUGUGAAGAAGGCCCUCGGGUUGUAAAGCACUUUCAGUGAGGAAGAACGCCUGGUGGUUAAUACCCAUCAGGAAAGACAUCACUCACAGAAGAAGCACCGGCUAACUCCGUGCCAGCAGCCGCGGUAAUACGGAGGGUGCGAGCGUUAAUCGGAAUUACUGGGCGUAAAGCGCGCGUAGGUGGCUUGAUAAGCCGGUUGUGAAAGCCCCGGGCUCAACCUGGGAACGGCAUCCGGAACUGUCAAGCUAGAGUGCAGGAGAGGAAGGUAGAAUUCCCGGUGUAGCGGUGAAAUGCGUAGAGAUCGGGAGGAAUACCAGUGGCGAAGGCGGCCUUCUGGACUGACACUGACACUGAGGUGCGAAAGCGUGGGCAGCAAACAGGAUUAGAUACCCUGGUAGUC
rnacentral:rRNA from 1 species